CUUUUGAUUUGAAAAACCUGGCUCUUUCAAACACCCACAUUGUCUACACCUGACUGAUCUACUUUCCAGGUGAGGAGGUGGGUUCUGGGAAUUGGGAGGCAAGAACGGAAAGAACAAGAAAAGGUGGAUGAUAGACCUGGGUGGGUGUUUGCCACCCAGCCUGAGCUUGCUGCGGGCACCCCUUUCCUUCUGUGGGUCGGGAAGCCAUUCUCAUUUCUGCUAGAGGGAACUGAUGGUGCCUAUAAAUUUAAAGUCGUCUCAUGGAAAUAAAAGGCUUAGUGAGUUCCUAGAAGCAGCAGAACAGGCAAUUUACAUGUGAGUUUGGUGAUGAUGGAGGUUCUUGGGACAUUGAUAGGAGGGAGAAACGUCUGAAUCUAUACUUGUCAAUCUUAGGCAAACCCCAUCACUGGAAAUACAAGAGGGAAACGGCCUAUUUCCUCCUCCUUCACCUUGGAUGUGUGCUGGUCCACUCCUAGGUGAAGGGCACGGACCAGAUGUGUGACCCUGGGCGAAUCGCUCCAUCUCUCUGGGCUUGGGCUUCCUUUCCUGGAAAACGAUGAAGUCGCGCUAGAUGAUGAUUCCUAAGGUCUGACUAACUUGAAUAGUCUUUGAGUCCAGGAUUCUUAGGAAAAUGGAAAUCAUUAGAGCAGGAGGAGAAAAGUUUCUUCAUGUGGGCUUCCUGUUCAGGGCCUUUUCUGAUUUCCCACAGGGGCUAUGAAAUCUUUAACGAGCCCGUGAAACAACAUCAUGUUCUUGGAGCAGCCAGAGAGCAGGGGAGGAGCCAUUGCAAACAUCCUCUUCUGUGGAGAACAGUGAUUGGCGUCUACAGCAGGGAGUGGCGCUGAGGCCUCCCCUCAGCAAUCCUGGAGCUGCAGUGUCCAGCAGACCCCCAAUGUGAACAACGUGGCCAACUGAACCCGUCUUAUGGCCAGGCCAUUGUGCCUCGGAAUGAAUCAUUUCUAAGUAAGAAGUUUCUCAAAAGCUUGAAUGGCUGGACGGCAGCCCCGGGAUGUUUCCUGAGACAAACCUGCAACUGCUUGGUGCUCUUAGCUUGCAGGGCACGGCGAUUUGGGUUUCAUCUGGCCGUGCCAAGUGUGGAGAGGCCCCGUGUGCACUUUCAGUCACAUGACCUGGUGACUCAGGCCCUUUCUGGUUCAUGCUUGUUGGAUAUGGGAACAGGGAGGAAAGGUGAGAAAACCCUUCGCUGUGGCUCUCUGGGAGGGUCCGGGGUUGAGUAAUAGUCUGUUGUUAUAUGGGUUGCCCUGAGCUCUUUUUACGUGAGCAUAAUAAAGUUAUCUUAUAGCCACAGAAUUGCCAUUUUCAGACGAGGUUUCCGGAGCUCAUGUAUUCCAUCUCCCGUUUCCAACAGGAGUAAGCUAAAGUCAUCCGAGGGAAAAGAAAAUCUACAUUUCACCACUUCCUUUAGGGAAAUAGUUUGGUAUUUAACCACCUCAUCACCAGAAAUAUUUUUUGUGCUAUUUAACCUGAAUCCACCCUGCCACGUUUCAGCCGGAUUCCUCUCACUCUGGGAGACACGGUGGAAAAUUCUUUCCACGACAGUAGGAAUGUCUAAGUAACCUCAAGAGAAGAUGCUUAUUCCAAAUUUAUUCUCUCUUGCCUGCCAAUCUAUAGCUCUCUG
ensembl:lncRNA